GACGAACGCUGGCGGCGUGCCUAAUACAUGCAAGUAGAACGCUGAAGGAGGAGCUUGCUCUUCUGGAUGAGUUGCGAACGGGUGAGUAACGCGUAGGUAACCUGCCUGGUAGCGGGGGAUAACUAUUGGAAACGACUGCUAAUACCGCCUAACAGUAGAUGUUGCAUGACAUUUAUUUAAAAGCUGCAUUUGCAUUACUACUAGAUCGACCUGCGUUGUAUUAGCUAGUUGGUGGGGUAACGGCUCACCAAGGCGACGAUACAUAGCCGAGCUGGGAGGGUGGUCGACCACACUGGGACUGAGACACGGCCCAGACUCCUACGGGGAGGAGCAGUAGGGAAUCUUCGGCAAUGGACGGAAGUCUGACCGAAGAACGCCGGGGGGGUGAAGGAAGGUUUCGGAUCGGAAAGCUCUGUUGUAAGGGAAGAAAGGGUGUGAGGGUGAAAAGUUCACACUGUGACGUUAUCUAACGAGAAAGGGACGGCUAACUACGUG
rnacentral:rRNA from 1 species